CCAUUUGUAACCACGGUGACCAGUAAGUGCAAGACAUGGGGCCACAUGGCUGUUUUAGAGAAGGAAGACAGCACUACCCUGAGAGCCAUGCUGCUGGCUUCAUCAGGAAGAGAGACAACAUGGGCAGGACUCCGGGGCCAAAGUGUCCCUAAGAAGCAGAAUUUGCAAUACCCAAGGUUUUAGAAAGAGCAACCUGGAAGGGCCACUGCACCACGAGAUCACAGGAUCCUCUCCCAGCUGUGAGUGCAGCUCACCCCAGCUGCUCUGACCCAGGCACGGGUUAUGACAAAGACAAGCAGCUCUACAGAGGGGCCUCGAGAAAUCCUCUGAAACAGAGAAAUCAAAGUCCUGUGGACUGUCCACCUGGGAGGCUGUUAGCGUGCGUGCCUGCGUGCAUCCAUCGGUGGGCAGACGAAGAAGGAGGUGCUGUCAGCUGUCUGCACUCCCAGAUGAGGUGAUGGCCUGGCACCAUCGGAGCAUUGCCCUGAUGAAUCAUGGUUGAGGGAACAAUUACCACCUUGAGGAAUGAGGCCCCAAAGCUGAGUCUCUGCUAUGGCAUCCGCCUUCUUCUCACGAAGACCUGCAGCUUGAAAGGAGGGGAGGGAGAAGUAGCCCAAAGCUCCAGGAAGACCAAGCCCAGCCGCUGUGAUGAUUCCAAGGAAAUUCAGGAAAUCCUUGCUAAUGGCCAGACUUCCCGGGUUUGAGAUGCAAAAGGAAAUCAGAUCCCCAGGGUAAUGCUUUUACACUAAGCAAGAAAUUGCAGGAUAUAAAGCUGUGCAGACCGCUGCCCCUAAUUAAGAAAGCAAUUCUGAGACUCCAGCCUGGAAGGAACUGGUCCUCGGUGUCGACUGUAGUCAAUUCUGGGUGGAGGGGUGAUGGGGGAUAAUGUCUUCUUUUUAUUUUCUAUACUGCGGGGGGCGGGGAUGGGCAGUUAAAAAUCAAAGGAAGGAAACAUAAAGCUAAAUCCUUUUCCAUCCAUAGCCGUUCAAGCUACUGCCUGGUCACGUUCUCCUUGAAGCUGGGGCUCCUCUCUCAGGCCCCACCUAACAUGGCCUGGCUCCUUCCUGGGGUCACUCCUUGUUCCUCAAGCACUUCAAAUUCAACCUCUCCUGCCUCUGAGCUCAGCAUCUGGGCCUCUCCCCUUUCUUUAUAAGCUCCAUCCAUGACAGCCUUCUGUGGGUCAGCCACAUGCUUCACACCAAAUGAAAGAAGAAGCUUGUUCCAAAUCUAUGUGGUUUUUUUGACAUUUUAGAGAGCAGACGCUUUCCUACGCUAAUUCCCUAUUACAUCUAUACGUCUUUUUAAAAAGUCUUCAAGUCUUUUUAGUGUCCAACAUCACUUAUUCCCUCCCUUUCUUUUUCCCCCGUUUCACCUGCCCCAGUCCUCAGGACAAGUGCUGCUGUUUCCUGCACAGCGCACACAGUGAACCCUGAAAGCAUGCUGCUAAAUGAAAGAAGCCAGGUACAAAAGACAACAUACUAUAUGAUUUCAUAAGAAAUGGAUAUAACAGGAAAAUCUACAGAGACAGAAAAUAAAUUCGUAGUGGUUUAGGGGCUGGGAGAGUGGGACGAGACCUCUCUAUAGAGGCGGCAGUGCCCGGGAUUUCUUUGAAGAUGUUUAGAUAUCACAGCAUAAUCAGACAAUAGUGAGGACAGUCUGGCAUUGGUAUACAGAUGACAAAUAGAUCCAUGCAAUAGAAGGGAAGCCAAACCAGAUUCCAACCUGCCUCCAGUCACCUGAUUCAACAAAGUCAAAGUCACAAAUCAAUAGGGAGAGGAUGGUCUUUUCAGUAAAUGAUACUGUAUCAAUUGACUCGUCAUAUAGAGAGAAAAAAGGAGCCUUGGUCCCGUGCACACACAAGACACAAAAGUUCCUUCAAAGUGCAUCUUAGACCUACAUUCAAAAACAAAAGCAACGCAGGGUCCAGGAGAAAGGGCCCAGGCAGGAGAAUAUUUUUAUGACCUUGGGCUAAGCAAGAGAUUCAUUAACAGGACAUAAAAACCACUAACCACCAAGAAAAAAUGACUGAUAAAUAUGACAAUUAAAAUGAAGGAUUUAUGUUUAUCAAAAAUAAAAAGGGGAACCAUCAACUGGGAGAACAUAGUUUCGAUACUUAUAUCUAACCGAGAAUUUAUAUUCAGGUUAGAUGACUCAAAAACAAAAACGUAAGCAAUCCACUAAGAACAAAUUCUGGGUGGAAGACUUCACAGAAGAUCUACAGAUGACCAGUGACCUCAGGAAAACACGGAUUAAAACAGCAAGGAGACACGCCCACGAGCUGCGUGACAGUUUUGAAAAUGAAGUGAAACCCUGAGGCUGGCAGAAUACUAAGGUGGUGUCACAGAUUCCCACCCUUGGUGUCCGUGCCCCGCACUACCCACUUGAGUAGGGGAAGACCUGUGGAUAUGAUGGGUGUCUCCUCUGUGAUCAGGUUAUAUCAUAUGUCAAAGACAGAGGGAUUUGGUGAUUAAGGUCUCUAAUCAGUUUACCUUCAAGUUCAUCAAAAGUGAGAGUGGCCGAGGUUGGCGUGACCUACUCAGGUGAGCCCUUUAAAAGAGAGCUCAGGCCUGCCCUGAGCUUGGAGAGAUUUUCCAGCUAGAAUUGAAGAAACAAGCAGCUGUGAGUUCAGCUUCACAGAAACAAAUUUGGCCAACAGUCAUGUGAGCUCCAUUAGAAAUGCACCCCAAGCCCCCUCAACCUCUCCCAUCCCCAACGGCACCAAUCUCCUGAUUAUCUAUACCUGAUAGCAGGGCAGGAACUAGACUCUGAGCCCCGUAAGGACAGACUUGUCUGUCAGUGCAUUUAACUAUCUGUCCCAGAACCUUGCACAGAGUCCAGCACAUAUCAAGAACACAGCACAUUUUUAUUGAGACAGGCUCUUUAAAGCUGAAAUCUAAAACCAAUGGCCCCUAAAUUCAGCAAAAAAAGGUUAAUGUAACACCUGUGCUUUUAUUACCCAUUUCUACAGAUAGAAGGGUUGGUUGUAUGCGGCUAUCACAAGUGAAAUGCAGAAUCAGUUAAUAAAAUUUUCAUCUGAAUUUAAAGAAAAUCCUAAAUAAUAAGAUUUCCUUAUUGCAGUUUUGUUGGUACCACCGUGGAGUAGAUUGCACUAUUCAAAUAAUCAUUGCCUUCCCUAUAGAAGAAUUAUAUUAGGUUAAACCAAAUACAGUUGAGAUAUUCAAUCACUUUUGACGUCAUAAAAUGCCAGUCUUGUAUGGAUUUUCAACCUAAUUCUUCCCUGCCCCUUUAAUGUCCAAGUUGACCAUGUCAUUUUCUAUGGCCAAUAAAAUAUGAUCUUUAGUGGCACAUGUCAUUUCUUAACAAAGUCUUAGUGAGUGCAUGUUGGCCAGCGUGCCUUUUCCCUCUGCCGUGACCACCAGACAUUUCCCAGAUAGAUGCUGUUCAACUUGCUUCGGUCUCAGAGUGAAGUGACAAAGAGCAGAGACAAUCCACCUGGACAUAUAGCAUAACUGAGCAAUAAACCUGUGUCGUUAUAAGCCAUUGAGAUUUUCAUUACUAUUGCAUAACCCAGCAUGCUUUAUCAAUACAUCCUCUUUUGCUUUGCCUUGCGAUAGAGGUACACUGUGUGUGUCUGCCUCACUUACAUCCCAGAGUCCAGCAAAAUUGCUUGUCCAUAAGAAGCCCUUGAAAAAUACUGAUUGAAUUUAAUUAAGUACGGCACUUUUUUCUGCUGGGAAAAGAACUGGCUGAACACAACCAAAGACAUUUUGCGGCAUUUAUUAAUUCCUGUUCUACUUUUAAGCCUAAGGAUAAGAGUCACCUGUGAGCCAAGCUGUAUUAUGUCAGCAAAAAUCCCAGAACAAUUAAGCCUCCUUUAAAGCUGGUUUGGAGCUGUUUCCAGAAUCAGCAGGAAAUCCAGAGCUCAGUGUGCCUGGUGCUAGCUCCACCUCUGGGGGCCCUCAUGUCACUCUGAGCAAGGCAGUAGGAAGUGGGAGGUGAGUUAGGACUAGUUGUCCGUAGACCUUCAUAGAUGGGGAGUUAUAAAGCAGUGAGAACCUCUCAGUGAAAACUGUCAGAGGUUUUCGUGCAGGGGAGUGACCAUCUGAUGUUUUAAAUGUUGUGAAGGGUUACUGGCUAGAGAAUAGAUUAUAGAGAGACAGGAGUAGAAACAGGGAUAGAAUAGAAAUUCUCUUAGAAAUCAUAAAUUACCAAUUUUGACAAAAGAAAAAAAAUCUAAGUAAAACAGUAUCUAUGGUGAAAAAGAAAUAUU
rnacentral:lncRNA from 1 species